GUUGUAGUCUGGAGAAGUGCUUUCUGCGCUGGACCGUGUAUAAGUACCUUGGAACAGGACGUCAUAGAGGGUGAGAAUCCCGUCUUUGACACGGACUACCAGUGCUUUGUGAUGCGCUCUCAAAGAGUCGAGUUGUUUGGGAAUGCAGCUCAAAAUGGGUGGUAAAUUCCAUCUAAAGCUAAAUAUUGGCGAGAGACCGAUAGCGAACAAGUACCGUGAGGGAAAGAUGAAAAGCACUUUGGAAAGAGAGUUAAACAGUACGUGAAAUUGCUGAAAGGGAAACGCUUGAAGUCAGUCAUGUCACUCAGAACUCAGCCUGGCUUUUGCUUGGUGCACUUUCUGAGCGACGGGCCAGCAUCAAUUUUGACUGUUGGAAAAGGGCUUGAGGAAUGUGGCAUCAUCUCGAUGUGUUAUAGCCUCUGGUCGUAUACAAUGGUUGGAAUUGAGGAUCGCAGGGCGUUUACGCUCUUAGGAUGCUGGCAUAAUGGCUUUAAGCGACCCGUCUUGAAACACGGACCAAGGAGUCUAACAUGCCUGCGAGUGUUUGGGUGGAAAACCCGAGCGCGUAAUGAAAGUGAAAGUUGAGACCUCUGUCGUGGAGGGCACCAACGCCCGGAUCAGAUGUUUACUGACGGUUCCGCGGUAGAGCAUGUAUGUUGGGACCCGAAAGAUGGUGAACUAUGCCUGAAUAGGGUGAAGCCAGAGGAAACUCUGGUG
rnacentral:rRNA from 1 species